CCACUACAAGCAAAUCCUCCUUUAGUACCUUUACAGCACUUCCCAUGCACUGACUAAAUCUACUCACCUGGGUGUUAGCACCUUUGGCUGGGCAUAGGCCAUCCUGCAAAAAGACAACACCAGAACUCAAGGUGACAGGAAGGUCCCUGGAAUGCAUGUCACUGGCAGCUCUGCACCAGGCAAACAGACUUGCAUGAGCAGUGGCAACCAAGCCACUGUGUACGUCCAUGACCCUGGGAGCAGACGAUGGGCCGAAGCAGGAAGAUCACAGUCUCACUUGACAUAAGGUAGGGAGAGGAAAUCAUGACACCCCUCCCCUUACUUAGGGCUGGGAGAUCUAAGGACUACUUUAAUUCACAAGCCGGAAGAGAAUGAACAUGUCUGUCCCUGGUAGAUGCCGACCAUCCGACCUGGGCCUGCAGCCUGCCUUGGUCCUCUCUUGGCUGGUGGCACAGAGUCCUGGCUCUCUGUCUCAGUCAGAGACCAGUCCCAACAUCAGUGUGAAGUUCCCUCAAAAGGUCAGGCCCCAAGGGACAAGAGCCACUUCUGCUAGUAAGCUGCGUUCUAGGAUGGCCUGUGGAGCAGAGAGCAGGGCUGGAGAGACGCUCAGUGGUAAGAGCACUGGCUACUCUUGCAGAACAACGGGAUUCCAUUCCCAGCACCCACAUGGAGACCCACAACUGUCUGUGACUCCAGUUCCAGGGGACCUGAGGGCCUUUUCUGGACUCUCUGCGCAAGGCACAAAUAUGGUAUACAGACAUACAUGUAGGCAAAACACUCAUACACAUAAAACAAAAUAAAUAUUUUUUUUAAGGCAGUGAAUGAUCCUUAAAAAGAACACAGAAAAUUUCUACACAGGAAUGAGGCUUGAAGACACCUCAUCACCUUGAGGAGUAAGUCUGGCUAGCCAACAUAAAAGAAACCAUACAGGACCCCAUCCCUGGGAGGCACUACUGCAGAGUGGCCAUGCUCAGAGGAACAACACAGAAUAGGGUUUUUCAUGACAAUGAGAUACAUCUGCUCCUGGCAGCAACAAUAAAAGGAUGAUGGGCAUCGAAGAAACACCAUUGGAAUUUGCUUUCAUUGUGGCAAGAUUAGCCAUUUGGGCAAGAACUGCUUUUGGCUUGACUGCUUGACUGUAUGCUGUAUAAACUGGACAUGCAGAACACACAGGAAAGUGACUACUGAACUUUGCCAAAACAAGGUGGGAUGGUCCUUCAGGGAUUCCUGCUUCACAGAAGAAACUGACAGACAAUCUGUAGGACACAGAGAAAAGUGACUGAUGCACUUUGCCAAAAUAGGCAGAACAGUCCUUCAAAUUUCCUGCUUCACUAAAAUGUCUACCAGAUACUCUAGGCCUAUAGGCUAAAGAUGGAUACCCCAACAUUGCAGAGGAAAUUUGGGUGACUGUCCAAGAAGCCAGAUGUCUCUGUCAUUUCUAGAGUUUUGAAGGGUGCUUGCAAUGCACUUCCUGUUUAUUCAGGUAACACUUCUGGGUUCUUUCAUGGAAUUAAAGACUAGAUAGUUAUAGUUUUUUUGGUUAUGAUAAAAGAUAAAUUAGAUAUGAAACUUUAGACUCACAAAGAUAGGAUAUAUGAGAGUAUUUUCAUUAAUUUUGCAAAAUACAAAUUGACUAAAUAUUAUAACUGUAAUUUUUGCUUGAUAACUGUUUUAUUAUAUGUAAUUUUACUAUGUUAAAGUUAAAACCUUCCUUUUUGGUUAGACAGAAAAGGGGAAAUGGUGUAGGAUGUCCUUCUGUAUGCUGUGAAUAUGUGUUGCUCUCGUUGGUUAAUAAAUCUGCUUUGGCCUAUGGCAAAACAGAAUAGAGCCAGGUGGGAGAUCCAAGCAGAGAUACAAGAGAAGAAGGGCAAGGUCUGGGAGACACCAUUCAGUCACCCAAGGAACAAACUGCAAGCAGACUGGAACACCACAGCCACAUGGCAAUAUUUAGACUAAUAGAAAUGGGUUAGUUUAAAUGUAAGAGCUAGCUAAUAAUAAACCUGAGCCAUCAGCCAAGCAUUUAUAAGUAA